UGGGAUACCUAAAUUUUCCAUGGCAAACUGCUCAGUAACACAUGAUCAACUUACCCUAUGGAGAAAAAUAACCUCGGGAAACUGAGGAUAAUGUUUCAUAGUUGAAUAGGCUUGGAAAAGUUUUUCAAUAAAAAGGAAAAGAAAAAUGGUUCUUUUCUGCCAUAGGAUAGGAUCGUGGUCGAUUAUGGUUGUUGGCGAGGUAAAGGCUCACCAAGCCGAUAAUCGAUAGGGGCCGUGAGAGCGGGAGCCCCGAGAUGGGUACUGAGACAACGACCCAUACCUUACGAGGUGCAGCAGGCGCGAGACCUCCGCAAUACACGAAAGUGUGACGGGGUUACCCAAAGUGUUCAUAUUUGAACUGUGGUAGGUGAGUAAUGUCCCUUACUAGAAAGGAGAGGGCAAGGCUGGUGCCAGCCGCCGCGGUAAAACCAGCUCUUCAAGUGGUCGGGAUGAUUAUUGGGCUUAAAGUGUCCGUAGCCGGUUUAGUAAGUUCCUGGUAAAAUCAGGUAGCUUAACUAUCUGUAUGCUAGGAAUACUGCUAUACUAGAGGGCGGGAGAGGUCUGAGGUACUACAGGGGUAGGGGUGAAAUCUUAUAAUC
rnacentral:rRNA from 1 species